UUGCUACCACGCCAGUGGUCACGGAGGCACAAGCAGAAUGGAGGACUCGCAGUGCAUCUUUUUUGUUAUGCAGGGAGUGCCCACCAUCGGAACAUGGAAGAAAUGGGAGGCCUUCCCUGCAUUGCCGGACCCGGACACCCAACUUCGUUGGGUGAACCAGGAUGCCAGUACCAUGGCCUCGCGCAGCCUGGACACAUGCGCGUAAUGGGAGGUCUGUGCGAUGGCCCUGGGCUCUUGAAUGAUAUAAAGUCACUCGCUUAAUAAAGUUUUUCCAUCCAUC